UACGUAGAAGGCAAGCGUUGUCCGGAAUUAUUGAGCGUAAAGCGCGCGCAAACGGUGAUUUAAGUUUAGUGUUUAAUCCCGGAACUCAACCCCGAGUCGCACUGAAAACUGGGUCACUUGAGUGCGGGAGAGGAAAGUGGAAUUCCACGUGUAGCAGUGAAAUGCGUAGAGAUGUGGAGGAACACCAAUGGCGAAGGCGACUUUCUGAACCGUAACUGACGCUGAGGCGCGAAAGCAUGGGGAGCAAACA
rnacentral:rRNA from 1 species